UAGAAAAGAAAAAAGGAAAUCUCUCAUCAUCUUUUGCAACAAAACCAUUUUUGCUGUUACACUGUAAAAACAAACAAACGAACAAAGAAUCUCUCUCUCUCUGGCCAUCUAUACUCUCUCUAUCAGCCCAUUCCUGUCUCCAUUCAUCCAUUAAUCUUUUUAGUUCUUAUUAUUAAAUAUAUAUAUAUAAAACACUAACUUAUCUUCUUCAUAUUUAUUUUUGCCUCCUUUUCGUAUUUUACACUAUUUCUCCUUGUUUUUUCUUUUCUUUUUUCAAUCUUUGCAUGGUUUUCAUCUAAAUAUUUAUUAAGAAUCGAUAGUGAUAAUAUCAAUAAUCUCUAGAAAUUUUUUUCGUGAAUUCUUGAUCGCUUCAAUGGAUCAAGUAACGACGCAAUCUUUUGAUUCUUGACUCUCUUUUGAGUGAAUGAGAGAUAAUGGGAUUAGAAUCUGCUGGUAGUUUCUUAAACUUCUCAAACAAACCUCAAUUUGAUUCUCAAAUUUGAUGGUUUGAUUGCUGAUCAUCAAUCUAAUUCUGGGUUCUUUUUGUUUCGUUCUGGUAUGAAGAAAUUGGGUAUAGAAGUUUGAUUACUGGGAGUUUUAGUUAUUGUUGUGGAGUCAAUGGAUGGGGUCAGUCCGAAUGAGGCCCAGGAAUUGGAUGGGCCAUCGGUUCCAUGGCGGCCGAGGCAGCUGGCAUUUCGACAAUACAGGCAGGAGAGUGAACCUGCCAACAAGGGACAAACUUUGCGUGUUGUCGUAAGAAGUCCUUUGGUUGCCAGACUAACCAAAGACAUAGUUGAAACGUAUCAAACAUGCAAUCCACAAUUCAAAUAUUCAGAAGAAUUAAAUCCAAAACGAUAUUUGACCAGCCCAUCAGCUGGAGUCCUCAAUGAUGGCCAUGAUAAUGUGAACUCGGAUCUUAUUCUGACUGUGAACUUUGCUUUGAUCAAUUUAGACACACAGAGAAGAUACAUAGUCAAAGAUGUUCUUGGUCAUGGGACUUUUGGGCAGGUUGCUAAAUGCUGGGUCGCAGAAACCAACAGUUUUGUUGCUCUGAAGAUAAUAAAAAAUCAACCAGCUUACUAUCAGCAAGCUCUGGUUGAAGUAUCUAUCUUGACGACGUUAAACAAGAAGUAUGAUCCUGAUGAUAAGCAUCACAUUGUUCGUAUUUAUGAUUACUUUGUAUACCAGCGGCACUUAUGCAUCUGUUUUGAACUUCUUGACACCAAUCUGUAUGAGCUUAUCAAGAUAAAUCAAUUUAGGGGGUUAUCACUGAGCAUUGUCCAAUUGUUCUCUAAGCAGAUUUUACGUGGAUUGGCUCUAUUAAAAGAUGCUGGGAUAAUCCAUUGUGAUCUGAAGCCAGAAAACAUUCUUCUGUGCACAAGUGUGAAACCAGCAGAGAUUAAAAUAAUUGACUUUGGAUCAGCAUGCAUGGAAGAUCACACUGUUUACUCCUACAUUCAGAGCCGUUACUAUAGAUCUCCUGAAGUUCUUCUAGGUUAUCAAUAUUCUACAGCUAUUGACAUGUGGUCCUUUGGGUGCAUAGUUGCAGAACUGUUUCUAGGAUUACCACUUUUUCCCGGUGCUUCAGAAUUUGAUCUCUUGAGGAGAAUGAUUGAAAUACUCGGAGGACAACCCCCUGAUUAUGUUCUAAAAGAGGCAAAGAAUGCAAGAAAGUUCUUCAAGUGCAUUGGGAGUGUUCAUAAUUUAGAGAAUGGCAAAGUUUCCAUAGGAGGAAGAACUGCAUACCAAGCAUUAAAAGUGGAAGAAUAUGAAUCUAUAGAGCUGAAAAAACCAUCGAUUGGGAAGGAGUAUUUCCAUCAUAUGAACCUCGAGGCAAUUGUUACAAACUAUCCUUACAAGAAGAAUUUGCCUGAGGAAGAUAUUCAGAAAGAAAGUCAAAUUCGAUUAGCUUUGAUUGAUUUCUUGAGGGGGCUUGUUGAGUUCGAUCCUGCAAAACGAUGGUCCCCUUUUCAGGCAUCAAAACACCCUUUUGUAACUGGGGAACCUUUCAUUUGCCCAUUCAAGCCUCCUCCAGAGACCCCUCAUAUGCCUGUUGCCCAAAAUAUUAAGGUGGACCAUCACCCAGGUGGAGGGCAUUGGUUCGCUGCUGGUCUCUCUCCUAAUGAUCCUGGAAGGACCAGAGUUUCCUUGCAUAAUAGCCCUCAUUUCCAGGCAGUUCCAUAUGGUCAUGGUGCUAGUUAUGGUAGUGUUGGAAGCCAUGGUAGCUAUAAUGAUGGUAUUGGCCUUGGAAGCAGCUAUGGAAGCUAUGGAGAUGGCAGUAAUAUGUUUGCAUAUUAUUCACCAGUUGCUCCAUCUGGCAUAAACAUGCAUCCACAGGCUGGUCUGUCAAUGCUUGGAAAUAGUCCAGAUGCAAGAUGGAGGUUUAUUCAAUAUUCACAUGGAAAUGGUCUUGGUAUGAGUCCGUCAGCAGGAAAUUUUGCACCACUGCCCCUUGGAACCAGUCCCUCACAGUUUACUCCACCAAGUUCUUACUGUCAAGCUUCAGCUGGUUCUCCUGGACAUUAUGGUCCAACUUCCCCUGCAAGAAGCUGCAGUCAUGGAUCACCUUUAGGAAAAAUGGCUGCAGUUACACAAUUCAAUAGAAGAAAACGUUGGGGGUAUUCUGGAAGUUCUCAAUCUCAGGAGUCUACAUCUUUGUCAAAUUGGCAAGGACAAUCAACUGAUGGUGCUUGCUCUAACCAAGCUGAGGGAAAUCCUCCAGUACUUGGUAGUUCACCUGCACAUUGGCAGUCAAGCUGGAUGCAGCAACAAGGAGGCAGUGGAAGUGCAGCAUGUCCCUCAGCCAUUCAGAGCAUUCCAGGCUCGUUUAAGCCUGUUGCUAAUAUGAAAUGCCCUCAAAGUGCAGGGCCUCUUCAUGAUAAGCCCGAGACUAACCUUUCAUUGCCAGAUCCAGGGGAUUGGGAUCCUAAUUACAGCGAUGAACUUCUUCUGCAAGAGGAUGGUUCAGAUACGAGUUUCUUAAGCUCUGAGUUUAGCAAUAGCAUGCAUCUUGGUUCUGGUGAUCCAAUGGUAGGUGUUGGAAGAUCCAACCGUGCUUCAAAUGCGAGCUCAAGUUCAUUAAACCAAAGACAAAAUGGGCCUAUUCAUGGAUUUUCACAUGUUGACGUGGGCAGCCCUCCUUCAGCUCUUGAUUUUCAUGCUGGAUAUGGCCGUUCAAUUUCAAAGCCUUCUUAUUUUACACCUCAUGUCUCACCAAAUUCUCCAAGCCGUUUAGGACAGCGGUUCAGUCAUGGAAGGCUUGCUGUUCGGGGUAGUGAAUGGAAUCCUAUUAAGGUCCAGCCCCCCUCUUCCAGCUUCAGUUCAGGGGGGCAACGUUCUCCAGGAAGUAGUUCAUUGAGCAACAGCAUGCCAUGGGGGCGUAGGGCCAAUUUCAAUAACAUUCCGUCACCAUCCCGAGGAAGAAAAGAUCUUGGAAGGAUUGCCUAGUUCUGUAUCACCUAUAUUUUCCACCUAUAGUGGGCUGUUGCUUUGAAACUCCUGAUCCGAGACAUGCUCAUUCAUUGUGCUUGCAUGAUUGUGGUUUUUUCUACUCUGAUCAUUCGACAUGCAAUCUUUAUUUUUCUUGGUUCCAACAAUUCCGUGGCCAUGAUACACCCCCCUAUCUCAGCUUCUAGGCAGAAUUCAGCUGGGAGUCUGACGUCAAGUGUGUGACUGGAGUAUUGCAUAGGUCACAUAGUUACUUACCUGUUUACUUUUCUUGUUCCAAGUGUAAAUUGAGUUUUAUUUACUUGAAUUGUUGUAGGCUGUAAUAUGAAGUUGGUGGUUUGUCAUUUUUUUCUUAUCCCACCUUUUGUUUUUGUUUUUGUUUUUUUUUUUCAAUUAGAGUAUUUUAUGAUUUCCAGCUCACUGGCAGUAAACAGUUUGCCAUUGUUGGUGUAUAUUGGAUUUUUAAUAUAAGAUGAUGCUCAGGCUUUGUUUUA